AAAAAAAAACUUAGGGCACAUACCCACAUUGGCAACCCACCAUCAUUGCCACAAAAGGUGACUCCCCUCCCAAUGCCUUACUUUCUACACCACUAUCUUCCUCUCUCCCAUCCUCCAUUCAUCAUGUCCUUUCUUCAAUUCCUCUUUCCAAUCCUCCAUUCAUCUCGUCAUCUCUUCGAUUACCAAAGAAAUUGCAAGAUCUUGCUAGAGGGGCUGCUUCCAACAAGCUUGAUCUCACCAAGGCUACACAAUUGUUUUGUGAGAACACCGAAAAUGACUUUAAUUUGGAUGAGCUUUCUUUUUUGCAUUUU
rnacentral:lncRNA from 1 species